rnacentral:rRNA from 1 species
UACGUAGGGACCAAGCGUUGUCCGGAAUCAUUGGGCGUAAAGAGCGCGCAGGCGGCUUGGUAAGUCGGAUGUGAAAUCCCGAGGCUCAACCUCGGGUCUGCAUCCGAUACUGCCCGGCUAGAGGUAGGUAGGGGAGAUCGGAAUUCCUGGUGUAGCGGUGAAAUGCGCAGAUAUCAGGAAGAACACCCGUGGCGAAGGCGGCUCUCUGGAACGCAACUGACGCUGAGACGCGAAAGCGUGGGGAGCAAACAGG